CUUCAUACAUAGAGACUUCGUCGACUACGGAGGGACUUCGUCGACUACGGAGGGACUUCGCCGACUGUAGAGAGCCGUCGCCGCCGCGUAUCGCCAUCUCCAGGCCGCCGUCGGUAAUUGCUCCAGGCUGCCGUCUCGGGUCUAGACCCUAGAGUCCAGAGUCCGCCGUGGCUCCAGGCCGCCGUCGCGAGUCCAGGCCUCCGUCGCGAGUCCAGGCCUCCAGGCCGUUGUCGCGAAUCCAGAUAGCCGUCGAGGUAUUGCGCUCUGUAUGUUUGGGGUGCUAUUUGGAGAAGGAGCUGAGAAGAAGGCUAGGAUUAGGGGGAAUCAUACUCUAGAAGUGCUGUGAACCAGAAUGUUCAGAGCUUUGAUUUCUUUGAGAGCGCGCAAUAGUUGUGAUCGUCUCUAUGUUCUUCAUGGACACAUUCUUGUUUAUCAUAUGAAGAGGAAAUUGUGGUGAGUCCAAAUGUUGCUGACUUUGCAAUGUUGUGCUCAGGAUCCAAAGGGGAUGCUUGAAGAAUUGGAGAAGGCAAUUGCUAGAAGUGAGUUCCAACAAGUUGAUUAUGACAAAGCGGUUAUUGAUCUGAUGCGUUCAGAAUGGGCCAAUAUUCUAUCAAGUUAUAUAGAGUAGGUAUGAUUUGACGUUGUAAUCAUUUAGACUUGGUUCGUAGAAUUUUUUUUUGUAGUAUUAUGACUUGGAUGAUGAUUCGAUUAGAAUUGGUAAUGAAAGUAUUAUGACUUGUUAUUUUAAACAUUGCUUAGCUUCUUCAAAAUUAUGUAACUACACUUGGCCAUGGUGAAUGGAUAAAUUGAUU